rnacentral:miRNA from 1 species
UCCCUGAGAUUUCAUAUAACCGG